rnacentral:other from 1 species
GUUUGCCGCCGAACAGGCGGCUUAGAAA